rnacentral:rRNA from 1 species
CCAAACUCCUACGGGAGGCAGCAGUGGGGAAUAUUGCGCAAUGGACGAAAGUCUGACGCAGCAACGCCGCGUGAGGGAUGACGGCCUUCGGGUUGUAAACCUCUUUCAGCAGGGACGAAGCGAGAGUGACGGUACCUGCAGAAGAAGGACCGGCCAACUACGUGCCAGCAGCCGCGGUAAUACGUAGGGUCCGAGCGUUGUCCGGAAUUAUUGGGCGUAAAGGGCUCGUAGGCGGUUCGUCACGUCGGGAGUGAAAACUCGGAGCUCAACUCCGAGCCUGCUUCCGAUACGGGCAGACUAGAGGUAGGCAGGGGAGAGCGGAACUCCUGGUGUAGCGGUGGAAUGCGCAGAUAUCAGGAAGAACACCGGUGGCGAAGGCGGCUCUCUGGGCCUUACCUGACGCUGAGGAGCGAAAGCGUGGGUAGCGAACAGGAUUAGAUACCCUGGUAGUCCACGCCGUAAACGUUGGGCGCUAGGUGUGGGGGACAUUCCACGUCCUCCGUGCCGCAGCUAACGCAUUAAGCGCCCCGCCUGGGGAGUACGGCCGCAAGGCUAAAACUCAAAGGAAUUGACGGGGGCCCGCACAAGCGGCGGAGCAUGCGGAUUAAUUCGAUGCAACGCGAAGAACCUUACCUGGGUUUGACAUAUAGGGAAAUCCUCCAGAGAUGGGGGGUCCGUAAGGGUCCUAUACAGGUGGUGCAUGGCUGUCGUCAGCUCGUGUCGUGAGAAGUUGGGUUAAGUCCCGCAACGAGCGCAACCCUCGUCCUAUGUUGCCAGCACGUUAUGGUGGGGACUCAUAGGAGACUGCCGGGGUCAACUCGGAGGGAGGUGGGGACGACGUCAAAUCAUCAUGCCCCUUAUGUCUUGGGCUUCACGCAUGCUACAAUGGCCCGGUACAAA